rnacentral:lncRNA from 1 species
AUCCGCAGCUGAUGACCUCCUCAGUGAUUUCUCUUCCACUCUGCAUUGCCUUCUCUCUCUCCAAGCUUGUUAUACUGAAUCUUCACUUCCUGGAAAGACCCUGGGACCCCACCACCUGGAUCUGUAUCCUUUUUCUACCACUUACUCCCUGAGCAACACUGGAUUCUCUUGGAUUACUAAACAUGGAGGGAAAAGCACUUAAACCUGGCUUGGAGAAAGAGAAGAGAGGAGAGUCAUAUUCAAGGACUGUACUCUAAAUAUUCCUCCAAUAACAACAGCUUCUUGCAGAAACUCAGGUCAGAUGUCUUCAGGCUACAGCGCAGUGGAAUAAAAACAUCGUCCAGCUCUCAUUGAAUGGGGAAUUUAUCAGGCUGUAUUUUAAAAAAUCUCCUUUUGUGCAACUAGUGAGAGUCUCAGGAACCAUGUUUAUAUCCAUAAUAAUGAAGCUAGAUAAGGGUGCCUGACUCAGAUUCCGCCCAUCAAAACAAACCAGCCAAGCACCAUGUGAAAAGCUUUGAUAAGGCCCUGUGAAGACCGCUUAUGCAGUCCAUUUGUCAUUGAACAUGUUUCCUCCUUAGCACAAUAUUUUUAAACAGCUUGAUUUUUUAAAAAAAUCAAUAGUCUUUGAGUAAGAAUGAUAUCAGGACAACAGUCUUCAAUUUAAUAUUGAGGGCUUAUUUCACAUCUCUUUCAGCUUUAAACCAACUUGCUUGUAUCAUAGUCCAAAUUCCAACAGUGACUUUCCAAUGCUUCCAGAUGAAUUCAUAAUUUCUUUUGUCAUGUAACACAGGCACAGUUUUCUUUUUCUUUUACUGGUGGUUUUCAAACCUAAUUUUUGAGCAGAGGAAACUCUUUUAUCAAAUAAAAUCUUACUCAGAACUCCACAGCAGAGUGGAACUACUCAGGAAGUGUCCCUUAUCUGGAAGGUCAUUGGGAAACCACUGCCUUAUUGCAAAAAUGCUUUGUUUGACUUGCAGAUUUCAUAGCCAGAAUAGAGAAGCAAUCAACAUGUAAUUUCCUCAAACAAUGGAAAUUCAUUAAGUAGCACCUAACUAGAAAAUAAUAAUAUAUAGUAACUAAAUUCAUGAA